UGCAAAUGCAAAGUAAAUAUAUAAUCAAUCAAAUCAUAUACAAAGUAUUUUAGUCUCAAGGCAUCAACCUCGUCUAGUUUCACGGCUAGACAAAAGCCUCAUUGACGAGUUUUUAACCUCUUGUCGUUUAUGUCUCUAUGCAGCAUUAUUAAUCUAUCUAGUGUUUCCUUCUACAUUGUGUUGUGACAUGAAAUCUAUGAAAACUAAUUG
rnacentral:misc_RNA from 1 species